GGGAAUGUGGCUUAGUGGUAGAGUGCUUGCCUGGCACGUAUGAAGCCCUGGGUUCGAUUCCUCAGUACCA
rnacentral:tRNA from 1 species